UUCGCCUACGGGGGGCAGCAGUGGGGAAUAUUGCGCAAUGGGGGAAACCCUGACGCAGCAACGCCGCGUGCGGGAUGAAGGCUUUCGGGUUGUAAACCGCUUUCAGCAGGGAAGAUAAUGACGGUACCUGCAGAAGAAGCCCCGGCUAACUACGUGCCAGCAGCCGCGGUAAUACGUAGGAUGCGAGCGUUAUCCGGAUUUAUUGGGUUUAAAGGGGGCGCAGGCGGAGGUGCAAGU
rnacentral:rRNA from 1 species